rnacentral:rRNA from 1 species
AACCUGCCUGGUAGCGGGGGAUAACUAUUGGAAACGAUAGCUAAUACCGCAUAAGAGUAGAUGUUGCAUGACAUUUGCUUAAAAGGUGCAAUUGCAUCACUACCAGAUGGACCUGCGUUGUAUUAGCUAGUUGGUGGGGUGACGGCUCACCAAGGCGACGAUACAUAGCCGACCUGAGAGGGUGAUCGGCCACACUGGGACUGAGACACGGCCCAG